UUUAUCUCUCAAAAAUGAAAAUUGUUUAGCAAAAAAUUAUAGCUUGUUUGAUAGUGAAACGCUUCAAUAGUAUCGACAUCUAGAAGGCAGAAAAUUAUUCAUUUUCUUAAGUUACCGUAACCGUUCAUUUUUACUAAUCGUAAUUUCUUUUGUGUCAUUUGUUGUCACUGUUAAUAGAUCAAAUCUCUUGUAUAAUGUUCAACUAUUUGUCUCAUUGUGAAUAGGACUCUGUGUUUACCGGCUGAUUCCUCCUCUUGAAAAGUGACUCUCAGCAAGUUGGUGUUGGUAAGUGUUUCUCAACAUAACAAUGACAUCAUUAAAGCCAUAUUUGAUAUGGUUGCAGAAGAAGGUGUUUUAGAUAUAAUUUGACAAGUAUUGAUCUUGAAAUCACAAUGAUUAUGUUGAUUUAAAGAGUCUCCUGUUUCAUGGCCUCGUGUCAAAGGAACCCUAUUAUCAAAUGGAAAAUUCAAUGCCACGUGGUUCGGAUUAAUUUCUUUCAUCUUCUCUUUCAUCCCUGGAAUCAGCACCGACCAGAAGUCAAGUUUACAAAGUGAAAAAAAUCCAUGAAGGAAUACCCAAAGAGUUCCAAUUCAAGUUUGAAUGGAUAAAAUUUGUCCUCUUGAUGGAUACAUUUGCUAGUCAAUGGAAACACACGUCUUUAACCAGAUUACCGUUGCAUGCUUUUCACAGUCUGAAUAUGGUUUUGUAAGUGCAGGAAUAAUCAUAAACCAGGAGCCACACAGCAGAUUGAAUGGCGUUAAAUGUGAAGAUGAAAUAUUCAGACAAGGAGAUGAGUAGCAAGCAGACUAUGAAAGGAUGGAUUCAAAAUGGGAAAUUGAAGGCAAAGGAAAGAAGCUGAGGAAAUAUUUGAUGAGAUAUUGUCUUCCUUUUGUCACCAAUCACUAAAUAGGAAUCAAGUCUUCUGUAAAAAUGCGAUUAAGAUGCUUACAGGAUUCAACUGAAAGCUGAUAUUAACAUUUAUUCCAAGAAGAAUGGCGAUGUCACAGUUUAGUCUGAAUAAUUCUGUCUCUGCUUUUUUCUCAUAUCUCCUUCUCUCUCCUUAUUUCAUCAAUGGAAGGUCAUGCACCAUUAGAAACAAGAUUACGGUGUUUAUGGAUAUUCACAAUGAUUACCGCCAUUCAUGUGAUGAUAAAAAGAGGAACAAUUUAACCAUCAAAGAGUGUUGACAAUCAUCAUGUCUUUAAAAUGUGUUUCAACCUUUUGCUUUUCAUCACCUUCAUUACAUUUCACGUUACCUCAAUCUGAAGAAAGACAAGCAACACCAAAUACCAAAUAAUAAUAUCUUGAAUAUGUGAAAGUCUGAUGGCAAAAUUUUUCAUGUCAUUGAUAAUAACACUGACUGGAAAAGUGACUAUUACAUGUAAAAAGAGGACUAAUUUUAAAGUUAACAACAAAUCAAAUUAUACUGUUAAACUGUAUUCUUGGUCUUCAGAGGAUUCAUUUUGGACAGGAGGCAACAAAAAAGUGAAUAAAAAAAGGAAACAGACAGUGAAUGGCAAAGUGGAUAAUCAUGAUGAAUCAUGACAAUCAUUUCAAUGAUAACAAUUUGCAAUAUCCAUGAAGAGGAAUGCCGUGAAUCUUUAAUGUGAAACCUGAUUGUCAUCUCAUGAUGGUGAAAUUGAAAGUCCUGGAUUCAAAGACAGUGAAAAGGAGUAAAUAACAAUCCAUGGUAUUAGGUGAUGUCUUUAAUGAUAUUGAUGGCGCUGAUGAUUAAAUUGUUAUCACCAAAGUAACAAUAUCAAGUGGAGAGAUAAUUGAAAAGACAUGGAAAAAAAUGAAAGAGUAACUCAGGAGCAAUUAUUAAUACAACAUUGAAUCUAAUGAUAAACGUUUGUUGAUUGCUUCUUUUUUUGUUGACUUAACCACUUAUAUAUACAUUUCACUGAUUAGCUUAACUUCUAAUGUUCAAGCAGAGCAGAUGAUGAUGAUGAUCAAAAAGAUGAAGAUGAUACAAGAUCCACAAUUGAGUUAACCUGAUCAAUAGUAUUACAUCCAUGUUGAUGCUAAAGUAAACAUUGGAUCUCGUUUAAUUUCCCUCGAGAGUAUCAAAAGUAUCUGUCGUUUUUUGUGGAAGAUGGUGAAGAGAAAAAAAACAAGAUUCAGUGAGAAGAGGAAUGAUGAUGAUAAGUUGAGAAUUACGUUGAUUAUCAUCUAACCGCACACAUAAUAUGAUAUGAUAUAUCAUCAUCAUUUGAUCUCAAUGUUUGUCAUUUAAUAACAAAACAAAGCUAAUUCAGUAAUCAUUUCAGUUAAUAUGAUCUUCCCUUCAAAUCAAUUGUGUUAUAUUAAUAAUAACCAUCAAUCCUGUAUAAUCACAAUAAUAAUACAAAGUUGAAGCUUCCAUUCAAAUUAUUAAUGAAACAAUUUAACUCAAACAAAUGAUUACCCAAAAUAAUAAAACAUUUACAAAGGUAUAAAAAGCUGUAACCAAAAAAAAGUUCAAUGUUGAACCAAAACCAGAAAAAAAUGUUUACCAAUGAAACAAAAAAUGAUUUAAAUGCAAGUCUUGAGUAAAUUAAACAUUAUCAAUUAUUAA